GGAUAGCCAUUGGAAACGAUGAUUAAUACUAGAUACUCCUUCUCCUUAUAAUUGGAGUUGGGAAAGUUUUUCGCUAAGAGAUCGGUCUAUAUCCCAUCAGCUUGUUGGUAGUGUAAGAGACUACCAAGGCUAUGACGGGUAGCGGGUUUGAGAGGAUGAUCCGCCACACUGGUACUGAGACACGGACCAGACUCCUACGGGAGGCAGCAGUGAGGAAUAUUGCACAAUGGGGGAAACCCUGAUGCAGCAACGCCGCGUGGAGGAUGACGCAUUUCGGUGUGUAAACUCCUUUUAUGAGUCAAGAAAAUGACGGUAGCUCAUGAAUAAGCACCGGCUAACUCCGUGCCAGCAGCCGCGGUAAUACGGAGGGUGCAAGCGUUAUUCGGAAUCACUGGGCGUAAAGGACGCGUAGGCGGGUCGCCAAGUCUGAUGUGAAAUCCUACAGCUUAACUGUAGAACUGCAUUGGAAACUGGUAACCUAGAGUAUGGAGGGGGGAAGAAAGGAAAAUUUG
rnacentral:rRNA from 1 species